rnacentral:lncRNA from 1 species
UUCGCAGCUGACAGUUCCACCUUAAGAGUGCUGAUCCUGGCUUCUUGAGCCCAAAUUCGGUCGUUGGUGCUCUUCUUGCAUUCCUCGAGCUCCUUUGUGAAGUUCGCUUUCCUCCGGCUGUAAUCCAUAAUUGCCUUCACAUGGAGACUCCGAAAGUGGGCGGCCUCAGCGGCGGCUUCAGAAUGGCCUUCUCUCGAUUUGCGGAGCUCACCUUCUGACUUCUUCAACUUCUUCGUCAGGUGAAGGACCUCCUUUUUUAACCACUAGAUCAUCGAUUUCAGCGGGACCCCCAGGGGCAAGGGGAGUGCUUCUGCAGGACACUGCCAUCAGAAGGUAGAAGCAUUAAAGAAUGACUCAUUGCAAGGAGAAAGGCAGAAAGAGGAAGGAAAGGGCGGGAGAAGCCAUCCACAACAAGAAAUUCGACUUUAUUAAUUGAAUAAUUUUGAAGACAAACAGAAAGGAAAUAUUGCAACAAAAUAAGGGCACA